rnacentral:rRNA from 1 species
AGAACGAACGCUGGCGGCAUGCCUAACACAUGCAAGUCGAACGCGUGGAGCAAUCCACGAGUGGCGGACGGGUGAGUAACGCGUGGGAACCUGCCCUGGAGUGUGGGAUAACCGAGGGAAACUUCGGCUAAUACCGCAUACGACCUGAGGGUGAAAGAUUUAUCGCUCUAGGAGGGGCCCGCGUCGGAUUAGCUAGUUGGUGGGGUAAAGGCCUACCAAGGCAGUGAUCCGUAGCUGGUCUGAGAGGAUGAUCAGCCACACUGGGACUGAGACACGGCCCAGACUCCUACGGGAGGCAGCAGUGGGGAAUAUGGACAAUGGGGGCAACCCUGAUCCAGCAAUGCCGCGUGAGUGAUGAAGGCCUUAGGGUUGUAAAGCUCUUUCGCGCGCGACGAUGAUGACGGUAGCGCGAGAAGAACGCCCCGGCUAACUUCGUGCCAGCAGCCGC